rfam:Pan troglodytes isolate Yerkes chimp pedigree #C0471 (Clint) chromosome 20, whole genome shotgun sequence.
GCGGGACAUGGUGGUGUAUGCCUGUAGUCCCAGCUACUAGGGAGGCUGAGGUGGGAGGAUCACUUGAGCCCAGGAGGUCGAGGCUGCAGUGAGCCAUGAUGGCACCAUUGCACUCUAGCCUGGGUGACAAAGUGAGAUCCUGUCUCAA